UGGGGAAUAUUGGACAAUGGGCGAAAGCCUGAUCCAGCCAUGCCGCGUGUGUGAAGAAGGUCUUCGGAUUGUAAAGCACUUUAAGUUGGGAGGAAGGGCAGUAAGCGAAUACCUUGCUGUUUUGACGUUACCGACAGAAUAAGCACCGGCUAACUCUGUGCCAGCAGCCGCGGUAAUACAGAGGGUGCAAGCGUUAAUCGGAUUUACUGAGCGUAAAGCGUGCGUAGGCGGCUAAUUGAGUCGGAUGUGAAAUCCCCGAGCUUAACUUGGGAAUUGCAUUCGAUACUGGUUAGCUAGAGUGUGGGAGAGGAUGGUAGAAUUCCAGGUGUAGCGGUGAAAUGCGUAGAGAUCUGGAGGAAUACCGAUGGCGAAGGCAGCCAUCUGGCCUAACACUGACGCUGAGGUACGAAAGCAUGGGGAGCAAACAGG
rnacentral:rRNA from 1 species